GAGUUUUGUCAAAUAUAUGUAUACGUACACACACACACACACAAAUCUCAACUUGUCACUAGCAACUUGACAUCUGUCUCUUUAUUAUUCUGAGGCACUGUUUGAGUCAGCAGUGGCUUCCAUGGCUUCCCCACUCAGCUCAGGGAGAGAGAUGUAGCCCCCUGCCUUGGGUCCCCAUGUAGCAAUGGCACUGUCAGCCACAGAGCCCUCUCCAAUGCUGUUGGGGGGGUUAGAGGUGUUAUUUUAACCUUAAGAAAACUGUGAUCUUCCUGGUAACCGGUGCAUGUGGGUCUAUCUCUCCCCACUCCUACUGUGACGGCUGCCCACACACAGAAGUGAGAGGCUUGGGACAAGACCCAUUCCCUGUUGUCAUCUGUUGCCAGGAUCUGGGAGCUGAGCCUCCCAUGCCUUCUGGUUGGAAGUGAGGCCUGGAGCUGUUGCUUGGCAGCCAACCUGUGCCAGGCAUGCACAGCUGAGAGGAUCCUGCAAGACCUCGAGAGAGAUGAUGAGCAGCUACCAUUUCUAGCUUGGGAAGUAGGCCUGUUCUGUGCGCUGGCUGCCUUGAGAGGCAUGCAUUAUGACUCCUGGGGUACUCAAUGUGCCUUUCAGUUCCCGAAAACCUGAGGCACCCUCUCAGGCAGUGAGGCAAACAGGCUACCUUUGUGUCUUGGUGUUCCUUAGAGGUAAAUGAAGCAUACAUACAGAACUUGGCUGAACAUAUAAUCUUAGACGUUACUCUUGUAUGCCCUAUCAGGCUUGGGUGCCACCCUUAUAGCCUAUCAUGAGGAGCAUGUAAAAUGUCUCACUGCUUGAAAUAAACCUGUCUCAGUCUUAGCUCUGCUGAGGUCCCUCCAACCGGCCUGAGUCAUUUAUUCCCACUGCCUAUAUCAGAAGACACUGGCUUGGUACACAAGCGCUGGCACUUUCGGCUCUGCAGCACAGAAGAGGUAAAUAAGGUGAACUAGAUGAGAAAAGUAUCCAAACCAGGUCCGGGUUAGGUUAUGUUGACCUCUGUUGGGGUGCAGAGUACCUAUCUGGGGUAGCUCGGGGCCUCUGGGGACAUCCAAGAGGAUCUUGAGUAGAGACAUUGGACGAGGGCACAGAGACCUGGUAUGCACCUACAUUCAUUCAGCAAUCAACAUAGAUCAUUUAAUUCUCUCUCUCUCUCUCUCUCUCUCUCUCUCUCUCUCUGUGUGUGUGUGUGUGUGUGUGUCUGUCUGUCUGUCUGUCUGUCUGUCCUCAAUGGCAUCAACUGUGUGCCCUCUGACUCACUACAGCUCUGACACUACUCUGAGGUAGCAUCAGAUACCAUAGGCUGAGGACUGGGUCCCCCAAAACUCUCUACCUCCUUCAGCCACCAGCCCUGGCUGUCCCAUCUAAGCUUCCAACCCCAGAGUUCUAAACUGGGGUUCUUCCAACUCACUCCUCAGGUUCAAAUAAUUUGUUAGAGAAGGGCUC
rnacentral:lncRNA from 1 species